ensembl:lncRNA
UCUUUUGUCGCAGGCUCGCACAAUACUGUAUAAAGUAACUUUCAUGGACAGGACCAAAAAUGACUUUUUCCAUCUUCAGGGAUAAAUGGUCAGACUUGAUCUGUGAAACGCGGGAAGAGAGACCGACAUUAUGGUGCAAAUAUAGCAGACAAAAGAGUUUGGGCGAGCUUUUGCCAGUUAAAUUUGGCUAACCUGCAGAAAGCUAUUGUCAAGCCAGCCAUGCUUCACUGAGCUCCCUUCCACUUUUGUGGUCAUGUUUCCUCUUUAUGGUUAAGUGAACCUCAAAACAAUGACAAAGAAAUAUGCACUGAGUCACAUAUUCUAAGAAAUAGACUGUACUCUCCUCAAAUCGAAAUAACAGCACUUUAAUUCUUGGAUUUUUCCACAUUUUUCUUGGUUAAAGCUGCUAUUUGCUUUCUUUGAAUCUGUAUCAGUUCAUGCAGUUCUGCCAAGGGGGGAAGUUUCACAGGACACUGCUACUUUAGCACGUGAAAUAUUAAGAUGAACAGAAUACGUACAAAGGUGGGGAACCUGGGAAGAUUGAAUGUCCUCUGGAGUCCACGGGGGUUUCCAGGGGGAGAAGCAAAACAAAACGGAGCAUAGCGGCACAGUGGGACAGACUUUCCCAAGAUCCCCAGGAUUUCCAUCCCACAGCCCAAGGACAUCCCCCCACCCCCCAAACUGAGACCACAAGUUUUUCAAUGUCUGUGAGUCAACAUCUGUUCUGCAAAGAAGUUCCGUCUGUCCUUUCUUCAGAUUCCACAUGUUGGUAUUUCGUUGUUUUUAAUGGCUGAGUAAUAUUCCAUUGUGUAUAUGUACCACAUCUUCUGGAUCCACUCCUCUGUCGAUGGACAUUUAGGUUGUUUCCACAUCUUGGCUAUUGUAAAUAGUGCUGC